rnacentral:rRNA from 1 species
AUUGAACGCUGGCGGCAUGCCUUACACAUGCAAGUCGAACGGCAGCACGGGAGCAAUCCUGGUGGCGAGUGGCGAACGGGUGAGUAAUACAUCGGAACGUGCCCAGUAGUGGGGGAUAACCCGGCGAAAGCCGGACUAAUACCGCAUACGACCUACGGGUGAAAGCGGGGGAUCGCAAGACCUCGCGCUAUCGGAGCGGCCGAUGUCAGAUUAGCUAGUUGGUGGGGUAAAGGCCUACCAAGGCGACGAUCUGUAGCUGGUCUGAGAGGACGACCAGCCACACUGGGACUGAGACACGGCCCAGACUCCUACGGGAGGCAGCAGUGGGGAAUUUUGGACAAUGGGCGCAAGCCUGAUCCAGCUAUGCCGCGUGCGGGAAGAAGGCCUUCGGGUUGUAAACCGCUUUUGUCAGGGAAGAAACGCUCCGGGCUAAUACCACGGAGUAAUGACGGUACCUGAAGAAUAAGCACCGGCUAACUACGU